AUAAAAGUAUGCCGAACUCG
rnacentral:miRNA from 1 species